CCUUGUACACACCGCCCGUCACGCCAUGGGAGUUGGAUUCACCCGAAGGUGGUGCGCUAACCCGUAAGGGAGGCAGCCAACCACGGUGGGUUCAGCGACUGGGGUG
rnacentral:rRNA from 1 species